rnacentral:rRNA from 1 species
GUCCACGCCGUAAACGAUGGAUGCUAGCCGUUGGUAAGCAUGCUUAUCAGUGGCGCAGCUAACGCAUUAAGCAUCCCGCCUGGGGAGUACGGCCGCAAGGUUGAAACUCAAAGGAAUUGACGGGGCCCGGCACAAGCGGUGGAGCAUGUGGUUUAAUUCGACGCAACGCGCAGAACCUUACCAGGGUUUGACAUCCUGUGCUAAGCCCAGAGAUGGGUGGUCCCCGCCAAGGGGCGGCAGAGACAGGUGCUGCAUGGCUGUCGU